UACAGAGGUCCCGAGCGUUGUUCGGAUUCACUGGGCGUAAAGGGCGCGUAGGCGGCCUUCUAAGUCGAACGUGAAAUCCCCGGGCUCAACCCGGGAACUGCGUCCGAUACUGGAAGGCUUGAAUCCGGGAGAGGGAUGCGGAAUUCCAGGUGUAGCGGUGAAAUGCGUAGAUAUCUGGAGGAACACCGGUGGCGAAGGCGGCAUCCUGGACCGGCAUUGACGCUGAGGCGCGAAAGCCAGGGGAGCAAACGGG
rnacentral:rRNA from 1 species